rnacentral:rRNA from 1 species
CCUACGGGAGGCAGCAGUGAGGAAUAUUGGUCAAUGGACGAGAGUCUGAACCAGCCAAGUAGCGUGAAGGAUGACUGCCCUAUGGGUUGUAAACUGCUUUUGUACGAGGGUAAACUCAGAUACGCGUAUCUUUCUGCAAGUAUCGUACGAAUAAAGAUCGGCUAACUCCGUGCCAGCAGCCGCGGUAAUACGGAGGAUUCAAGCGUUAUCCGGAUUUAUUGGGUUUAAAGGGUGCGUCGGCGGUCUGAUAAGUUAGAGGUGAAAUCCCGAGGCUCAACCGCGGAAUUGCCUCUGAUACUGUUAGGCUAGAGAGUAGUUGCGGUAGGCGGAAUGUAUGGUGUAGCGGUGAAAUGCUUAGAGAUCAUACAGAACACCGAUUGCGAAGGCAGCUUACCAAGCUACGUCUGACGUUGAGGCACGAAAGCGUGGGGAGCAAACAGGAUUAGAUACCCGAGUAGUC